CAGAACUGUUUCUUCUUCUCUCCUCACACGAAAAAACCCUAAACCCAAAGAAACUCUUUUCUUCUUCUCUCACGCACCUCCGUCCCUACCUCCGUCCUCAGCUGCCACUCCGUCCAUUGAUUUUUCUACCCCUCCGUCCAUUGAUUUCUCCGUUUAUUUCACUUAACAGGUCACUUCUUCUUUUGAAUUCCUUUGAUUUUCUUCUUUUCAUGUUUCAUGUUUGUUAUUGUUAUUGUUGUUAGCUGCGAUUUUUGUUCUCGAAAUCGAAAAAGAAAGAAGUUUUGAGAGGAGGAAGAAUAGAAUGUCAAAUAGAGAAAGAGAGGAUUUAGAGUUUUUGUCUCUGGAUUCUCGGUACUUUCUUCUCCGAUCAACAUCGAAUUUGCAUUGCCAUUCUUCUCCGAUUCUCACUUUCGUUUCACUCCUCUCAACUUUAACACACUUGAUGAUCGCUUCAGUGAAGUUCUCGAAGCGACUCAAAUCUAGGAAAAUCAAACAAAAAAAGAGAAAACAAUUGAAACAAAAAGAGGGAAGUAGCGCUUCAGGGAACGACAAUACGGUGACAAAGAGGGCAGGGAUGGUGAUUCAGUGUGAGAGGGCUUUGAUUUCGGUGAUGAACGGUGGAGAUGACAUCAGCGGCGGUGGAACCUUCUCGGACGGGGUUCUCGCGGUGGUUUUAGUUGAUGUGUCGGCGAAGGUAUAGGUCUGAUGCGUGUUGGUUUUUGAUUUCACGGGGCGUUUAGAUGGUGUCUUCACGGCAUGAACAAUGCCGCUGAAUGGUUAGGGAUUUUGGCGGAAAAACUCCGGCCGGUGGUUACGAUGUCCUUCAGAAUUCCUCGUCACAGCUAUCGUUCUAUACCGCCAUCAGAGAGAAUCCCAAAGUACGAAAGCCCUAAUUUGGACUCCAUUAUGGAUUCGUUUGAGAUGUAAGCUCGCUUGGUGAAGAAUAUAAUAUAUAAAUGAUGAGGAGAUUUCUAUCAAUGUGCUAUUUCAUUGGCAUGGUUACUAUGAACUAUUAGAGACCUUAUGACCAAAAAAAUUAAUACACAUUUAGUGCAGUACAUAUCUGUCACCUCUCGCGUAUAAUAGUAUCUGUCACCUACAGUAUGAGACAUGAAGAAUUCUGAAAUAUGAAUAUUAGAACAUUUUUCUGCUUCUUUUAGAACAGUUGUUUUAUGGUUGUGGAGCUAAGGACUGCACAAAAGCUUUUUCAUGCUGCUGAAUUUGUGUACAAACAUAUGAAGCUGAAACACGCAUCGCUUGCUGUUGAACAAACUUCAAAAAUGCGCAACGAUCUCUAUACUCAAAAUUACAUGAAAUCCAUAUGCUUCUGGUGGAAAGCCUGUUAUGCUGCAAUCUCAAGUGAACUACUAUACGCAUUGCUUGCCGUAAGUAUGAGAACAAUUUGUUGUUAGAAACUCACCCAUCUCAUAUGAUAGAGUCGAUGUUGGCCAGGGAUAACAUGAACUAACCAAUGUUUACAUUUCAGAUGCAAUUUUGUAUUACAUUUAUCAAACAUAUGAUUUGCAGGAUGUGGUAGAUGUUAUAUAAAAUAUAUCCAAGGAAAAUCAUCGUAAAACGAUUAGCAUACUUUCUAUGUCCGGUUGUGUAUCAAACAUUGUUGAUCUUACUCCGAACAAUCCCAAACACUGCAAGGGAAAAUUUGAGAUGCAUUUUAUGUCUACAAAAUGUCUCUCUGAUGAUGAUGGUCGUCAAUGUCGUGGAAAGGCAACGUGUAUCGUUACAUGCUGAGAUGAAAAGGAAAUUCUAUUAGUAAAUACUUCUGUCAUAGUGGCUGGCUAUGCUAAAAUUAACUGCAACCUUAUUCAACACAGACACCGAUAUUAACAGGUGCAAGAAUUUCAGCAUUUGCUGCUGUUGUGACUCGAAAUGAUGACAAAAGUCCCAUAGAAGCCAUCCUUCUUAAAGCCAAUUUUUAUCCAACUAAAGAAUACUCUACAAAAGGUUAUCAAAGAAGAACAAACAUUUACAUCUGGUUUUUUGCAACAGCUUAAUCAGUGGGAGAUGGGAACAUAGUAAAAUCCCACAUCAGCAACUAGUCUAGUGCUUCAAAUGCGCAGGACUUGAAGUCUCCUUCUGUAGUUGACAAUUGUUUGGUCAUGAAGUCUCCUUCUGCUGGGGACAUUUGAAAUUAAGUUUCUAAUCUUCUAUAAAACUGAAAAGUUCUUGUUUAAUUCUGGCGCCGAGAUUGUGUGUACACUCGGGAAAUGCUAUUCCAUAAACAUUAUUGUUUCCUCUUCUUUUCAGUUGAGUUUUUUAAGAAUGGAUGAUUAGAAAUUUAAUUGUCA